CAAAAAUUAAUCAAAAUGCAGUAGAAUGUGCAAUUGAAUCAGAAAAAUUUCACAAAGAAAAGACUAAGAAAGACGAGAUGGACAAAACUCAAAUCUUAUAUAAAACUGAUUUGGAAGAAAUCAAAUAUCGUGGCUCUGAAUGUUUAGUCGGAGAGGAAUCCAAGCCACAAACAGGAAAAAAAGACGUAAGAAAAUACAUGAACGUCUUCAGACGUGUUCUUCGCAGGCUUAGACAUAUACUUUUUCCUUGUCUGAAUCCAGAAAAGUAGUGUCUUUCUCAAUGAAAACUGUAUGCGAAUUAUAAAAAAAUAAUUGAACAUAAUUCGCUAUAAUUUGCCGUCUAGUGAUCUGUGUACUUGAUCAGAAUGCCAAUAAUUUUAUGUUUCGUUAAAUUUUCAAAAUUUACUUUAAUUAUUGUAAAUACUAAUUAGGAAAUAUAUAAAUAAAAGU